UACGAAGGGUGCAAGCGUUACUCGGAAUUACCGGUGCGUAAAGCGUGCGUAGGUGGUUUGUUAAGUCUGUUGUGAAAGCCCCGGGCUCAACCUGGGAAUGGCAAUGGAUACUGGCAAGCUAGAGUGCGGUAGAGGGUAGUGGAAUUCCCGGUGUAGCGGUGAAAUGCGUAGAGAUCGGGAGGAACACCAGUGGCGAAGGCGGCUACCUGGACCAGCACUGACACUGAGGCACGAAGCGUGGGGAGCAAACAGG
rnacentral:rRNA from 1 species